UUGUUGCUAUCCAUCACGAAUUUCAGUUGCCCCCCAAAAAAAACCCUACUUAAACAUAUAAACAGCCCAGCUCAAGAAAAAAUCCCAAAAUUCAACUUUGGGAGCCAACACCUAGAAAAUCCACAGACCCCCAAAAUCAUCAUUUCAAAAAGUUAUCCACACCCUACUGCAUCAAGUUCACCUUCGAUCGCCCAAAAUACCACGAUUUCCCCCAACUAAAACACGCAAACACAAAAUCCCUAAUCAUGAUCUUAAUCAAAUUCAACAAUGAAGCACCCUAACUAGUAUAAUUUAAUAAGAACAAACCUCAAUAUCCCAUUCUUCACCCUCCGCCCAUUCUUCCGCCGCUGCCGGAGCCGCCAACCUCUGCUCACCCAUUACCUACAGUAGGGCUCAAAAUCGGAAGGGAAGGGGGAGUGGAAAGCCUCCGGCGUGGAGGCAUCGACAACGCCGGAGAGAGCGUUGCCAGAUUUCGGCUCAGGCGGCGGUGAUUCCUGAUUUGGGGAGAAAAUUAGGGCUCUCUUUUUGUCUUCAUCUGUGAAUUUUGAGAGAGAAGAAUGGAUGAUGGGAGGAAGUAGUCGAGGAGCGGCGCCCUCGGCCGAACACGGCCUCGCCGGAGCCGGUGGGAAGGCGGACAGAGAGAGAAUUGCGGUGGUGAGCGUGAUGGAGAAGAUAGAGAGAAGCCAGGUCCGAUCUGGGGAAAAUUUGGUUGGGGUAGGGUUUUGAAUUUUUAUAAUAUUAUUGAAUUUAAAAAUAAAUAUAAAAAAUAAUGCAUAACACUCUUAAG
rnacentral:lncRNA from 1 species